rnacentral:tRNA from 1 species
GCCGGUUGCUCAGUAGUUAGAGCACUGGCCUGUGGACCCAGGGGUUGUGGGUUCAAUUCCCGAUCAGAGGCA